GAUGAACGCUGGCGGCGUGCCUAAUACAUGCAAGUCGAGCGAACGGACGAGAAGCUUGCUUCUCUGAUGUUAGCGGCGGACGGGUGAGUAACACGUGGAUAACCUACCUAUAAGACUGGGAUAACUUCGGGAAACCGGAGCUAAUACCGGAUGAUAUUUUGAACCGCAUGGUUCAAAAGUGAAAGACGGUCUUGCUGUCACUUAUAGAUGGAUCCGCGCUGCAUUAGCUAGUUGGUAAGGUAACGGCUUACCAAGGCAACGAUGCAUAGCCGACCUGAGAGGGUGAUCGGCCACACUGGAACUGAGACACGGUCCAGACUCCUACGGGAGGCAGCAGUAGGGAAUCUUCCGCAAAGGGCGAAAGCCUGACGGAGCAACGCCGCGUGAGUGAUGAAGGUCUUCGGAUCGUAAAACUCUGUUAUUAGGGAAGAACAUAUGUGUAAGUAACUGUGCACAUCUUGACGGUACCUAAUCAGAAAGCCACGGCUAACUACAUG
rnacentral:rRNA from 1 species